UAAAUGUGUGAGUAAUUUGUGCAGGUCCCAGCUGUAGCCAGCACUGCACUGUACAAAAUAUGCUAAACAAACCCUAACUAACCCAGUUCACUGCAUGCUGGCAGCUGCACUGAUUCUCAUCCGGGAGAUAUUCUGAGGCUUACAUUGCCAGACCUGGAUGCCUAAAGUUAGGUUUCUAAAUCCAUAGUGAGGCACCUAAAAAAGUAGCCCAAUUUUCAGCAGGGCCAUGUCCCCACAAAUCCCACUGACAGCAGUGAGAGCUGCUUAGCACCUUCCAUAAUGAAGCUUCUUCUACUGAGUCUAACUUUAGGCACACAGGGUUGAAAGCUUUGGCCUGCCUUGAUGACCUACAAUAUUAAACCACACCCAGAACAGCAUGCAGCAGCUGCAGAAGUGUUCUUUUUUGUUAUCCAUGCAGUGAGGGUGAAAGAUCACUCAAGCGCUACCCCACCUACUGGUAGAUGGCUGCCUACGGACCUCCUCAGGGUGUGAGUGCACUCAGGUGAGGCACCAGGGGUAAUGCGUUUCCAGCCCCUUACAGUUCUGAAUCAAGGUGAUUCAGAUCAAGUAUAAAUGCAGAAAGAGAGCUGUAGCACCAGUACCCUAUCUCAGAAGUUUACAGUGGGGUAUACAGGUUUAUACAGGGGUAAGAACAUGUGUUUUCCAUCAUAAACAGGAUUUACAGUUUGAUUCAAUGGCUCUCAGCACCCCCACUAUACAAAUUGUUCCAGCAACCCGGUUCCAAACUACACAGCUAAGGACAGCACUCAGCUUACUAUAGGACCGAUAACACAAGCCCUCUGCUUUAGUACAUAGAGGACAGGUCUCUGAAUGUGCAGGCUUGCUUGCAGCACAAUGGAGCAGUGACUGCUGGAAUCCAGCUGUCUCUUCAGGCUGCACCAGAGAGGGCAGUUGGAAGCCACUUCAUAGGACUCAGUGCUGCAUUUAGCUUUUGUGGGUGCUCAUCUCUAGAGUUUAAGAACUGGAAGUGGUUUUGGCGUAGGCCGGCAUCUUUUCAUGUCCUGUAGGCUGGAGUCCUAGUAGUGAAGAACAGCCUUCUGCAUUUUAUCAGUUGUUUUUAUGUCAUCAAUUAGUUCAUAGUCAUGGUCAGAGCCAUCACUGACAUUUGCAUCUAAAAGGAAAAGGAAAGAGAAUGCCAUGCAGGUGCCAAUACCGUUUGGGAUGCCCUGGAUGACUCCAUGUGCUAAAAUACUAGGGAGGUACAGACUAUAGAAACCCUUUAACGAGGCAGAUUCUUGGUCUCUCCUUCUCCUUCCCUGCCAGUGUUGAGAGGCCUUGCGUGCAAGAGUAAUACUUUUAUCUGAGUACAACACUAGCAAAGGUGACUAACAGCAAACAUCCCAGGAGCAAGAGCAUAAAAAGCCAUGAGCAAUAUAGUGUGUUUGCAUGUUGCUAAGAACGCAGCAUGUGUUGUGCUCAAUUAGACCAAUGACCUAUCCAGACUGGUGUCCAGCUUCUGUCAGUGGCCAAUAUCUAAUGCUUUGCGGGGGAUGACAAUCGAAACCGUUCCAUGAACCUAGAGCCAGUUUUGGGGUGCUGUUAGUGGGAGGGCACAUACUUUCCAGCCCCUGUAGAGAUUGGUUCACACCCUCAAGCGUGAGAUUUGUUUUUAUGAUCGUAGCCUACUUCUUUGUAUCUGCAUUGGCAUGAGGGUUACCCCUUGCUGCGUGCACUCCCUGAGUGAACACGACAGCCUGAUUUCUUCUUACAUUAUAUUAACAAAACUUUAAAGAAUAUGAAAGUUGCAAAAUCGAGCACUCAAAAGUUAGGAAUCAUAAAAAUUAAGGUGGCGUGCCUGGGUAUCGUUCCUGUUUUACACAUAGGGACCAGAGACACAGAGAGGUUAAGGCCAAAAUUGUUAUCUGGUCCACUAAUUUUGGGUGCCAAAUUUGAGAUGCCUAGGCCCUGCUUUCCUAGAGUACUGAUAUGCAUUUUAUAGUACUAUAUAUGUUCAAGCACACAUCCCACUGACCCUAGAGCAGAUCAAAAAUUUCCUGCUGAAAAUGGUGUUUUCUGAAAAACGACUAUAUAUUCCCAUGAGAAAUUUAAUUUUUGUCAGCAAAAAUUUUCUAAACAAAAAUUGUAAUCUAAUUUCUUUUCAAAUUAAAUUUUAAUUUUAAUUUUUGAAAUAAUUUUUUUUGAGCCUUCAGGUUUUUCCCCCCUUCUCACUCUUUUUUUUGUUUGUUACUAAAUGCAGUAGAAUGAAUAAGUCUAGAAUUUUUUUCCCUCCCUUUUCUCCUCUGUAAGUUGUCAAAUCUUUGUCAACUUUAGAAAAGUUACCAAGGGACGAAAGGAGAAAUGAAAUUGUCAUUUUGUUACUUGGCAGCUUUUCCAAAGUUGAAGAUUUGAAACACAGUAGACUGGAAAAAGAAAGAAAAAAGGACUGUGUGAGGAAAACCCUGGACCACAUUCAUUUUAUUGCAGUCAGUGGCAAAAAAGGGGAGAACUAAAUUCUGAAUAUUCAAAUUUUUUGGUAAAACAAUUUAAAUAAAGUUUUUACAAAAAGUG